rnacentral:rRNA from 1 species
UACGAAGGGGGCUAGCGUUGUUCGGAAUCACUGGGCGUAAAGCGCACGUAGGCGGCGCGUUAAGUCAGGGGUGAAAUCCUGGAGCUCAACUCCAGAACUGCCUUUGAUACUGGCGCGCUCGAGUGUGGUAGAGGUGGGUGGAACUCCGAGUGUAGAGGUGAAAUUCGUAGAUAUUCGGAAGAACACCAGUGGCGAAGGCGGCCAACUGGCCCAUUACUGACGCUGAGGUGCGAAAGCGUGGGGAGCAAACAGG